CAAUAGUGAAUGAGUAUAUUGCAAUUGCUGAUAUGCAUACUUUGGUGCCAGGGACUGCUAGACAGAAUGAAUAUUGUUGUUAUAAAUUACUCCUCAGAGUAGAGAAAAAAAAGUAAACACUUCUGCUUCAUUCUCUGACAAGUGGCUGUGCUGAGGUUUAUGCCUUUUAGAUUUCCAUUUUGAAUGAGCUGUGUUUUAUUGUAUAAAUGUAAAAAAAAUGCUGGAGCAUUACUUAGAGAAGGUCUUUCAACAUUGUGCUGUUUCUCCCACAUGAGCGCAAUCACUGCGUGUUCCCUCCCCUAUCAUCAACCCUAUACCCUUGGGGAGAACACAGGAAGGAUGAAAAGAAGUUAUUCCUAUAAUGCGAGUCAGAGUCUACCACCUUAAUUCACGAAAAGUGGACUGACUUUUCAUUUGCAAGCUGACCUGUGGCAAAAAAUACAAGGCACACUUUUAAAAUGGACAUUUCAAUUACAACUGCACAAUAGCACUAAAGGGACAGUAUCAAGGUAAGUCUACAUCUUGACCUACUUUUCUUUUUAUUCCUUUAGGCAGGAUUCUUUUUAUAUGUUUUAAAAUAAAUGUAAUGCUUGGGAAAGGAAUUAGGAUGAGGACAAUGGAAACAGAGCUCCUAGAUACAUUACCAACUUAGCCAGAGAAGUGGACGGGUUCUGUGUGUUCCCAGCAGAAGAGCUCAUCUGUGACACACAGGGCACAUUUCUGAGGGUGAGAGCUGGAGCUCCAUCUUCAUGUACUUUCUGUCCUUGGUCCUUCCACUGAGGCAUCUGAAAUAAGGUACAAAAUUAAUGAUAGAUUUUGCCAUUUUGGUAGCUGCCAAACAGAUAUUGGACUGAACACCUUCAUUCAUGUUCUGCAUCCCACAUACCAACAGAACAAUAGACGUUUCAUACAUUACUGCCUUCAAUUACCCAUCUAUUUCAAUCAUCUAUGUCAUAUUAAUAUUUACUUGUCUAUGUUUCUUUUUUUAACUUUCUUAGGAGAAAAGAGCCAGACAUUCACUUGCUUAAAAUGAGUUCAAUUCUCUGGUGGGAUCCAACUUCAAUUCCAGAUCAUGCACAUUUAUAGAUAUGAAAUGAGGAUGCUAAAUCCACUGAAAGAGAGCCAGUUCUUAUCUCUUACUUACAGAUCUUAUUCACUUUCAGAAAAUAAAUGUAUACAGAUGUUGUAUAAUACUAUCAGCAAAAUACAGAGGUGUGACAUACAGGGAAGACAGGUGUCGUGGGCGGUGGGCUGGGCUUUGAGAAAGCAUGCUGUGUUGUUUCUCUGUAAAUUGCUAAAUUCAAAGCACUUGCUUAUAGACUCUAUCUGCACAGCCCUCCCUGUUAUAGCAACAGUUCACAUGCAAACACUUAGACAUGUUGAAGUCAGUGGAAAUAUACAAAAGCUAAACAUUUCUUUACUUUUCUGCUUCAGGGCCUCCCAGAGAGGAAAAAAAAGUAUCUCAUUUUUUCAGGGUAAAGAAGCAGUCAUUGCCUGGUCUACUGAAUGUAUCACUGUGUGGAAUGCAUAUGUUCCCCUCCUCCACAUUCUGCCCUCUGUGCUGUAUUUAGCAUGCUAUAUUCCUUUACUGUCUCAGGCAUAAGCAGAUAUCAUGUUAACAGCAUCAUCUUCAUGUCCAGAAAGAAGAAGAAAAAAAAAAAAAGAUUGAAGAUGUGUAUCAUCUACAUACUAAUACACUGCUCUGGUAGCACUGAUUUGCUCUGCAUUAUCUGAUGAGUAGUUGACAACUUGCAACCUCUGUCACAGCUUGUACUCAAAAGCACUUAUGCGUCAGGACAAUUCUAUCUGGAGGGGGGAAAAAAAAGGUUGAAAAAACAACAGCAUCACGGACUGAGGCUCCUGCAGAAGAGGAAUUUCUUACAGCUAAGUGGGACCUGACAGAGACACGAUGUCUGUCCAGAAGUCUCACUUCCAUGACUGAGUUCCCAGAAUUUUCUUUUUGUCUCCAGGCAAUAGGUAUCUAAACUAUCUUUUGAGGGGGCCAAGUCAGAGGCCAUGUUGGCUCUCUCUUCAAAUAAUAUGACUGGAUGUGACUCACAAUGCUCUCAGAGGGCACCUUCCACAGCACAAUACCCAUCUCAGGUGCCUUACUACACUGGAAGAUUUAAUAUACAGUUGACAGCUGAAUAUACUUUCAGGCAUACCUGGUCAGGCUGUCCAAUGACUUGCAGACAUUUCUCAAAUGAUCUCUCAGAAGAAAAAAGGUAUCUCUUCCGACUCUUCAUUCCAGCUUUGGUGGUGGUAUAUAACUUAUGUGCCUGCUCCCCAGAUCACCGGACAAACCAAAGAGACCGUGAUGUUUGCUUUUUAAAUUGAUAGAAUUUGGCAUUUUGAAAGAAGCUCCCAGCACAAUGGCCUCCCCUGCUGAAACAUGUCAGUAGCCAUCUCUCCUCAUUAUCCAAUGGCCUUUUUGAUGAAUAGCAGCAGCAGUCUUUCCUCGUUAGAGCUAGUUAGCUGAAUGCUGAUCACCAUUGUUUUAGCAUAAUUAUCUUCAGGGUUAGGUGCAGGCCAGGCUGUUCCCCAUUAAUGCUACAAUACUGGAGUUGAUUUUUGUUCACAACUGUUAGCACUAAGGCAUGAAAACAGAUUAUGAAUGAUGAAAAAAAAUAUGCAUCACUUAGUCACGCGGAAUAUACAAGAACUUAUUUUUUUUAUUCCUUCCUUUUUUAGAAGGUAUCACUUCAAAAAUUCUUUGAAGUGUGUAAACGUAUAGUCACAUCAAAUCAAAUACUAUUUAUCUGUUGAACAGGAAGGAAUGAAUAUAUUUUCAGGAAUGCAUGUAUCUCCCUGACUUGAUUAAACUAAACAUAAUCUCCUUAUGUCACUGCGUGUCCGAGACGGGGUAGAGAAAAGGAGAGGGUUGGUACAGCUCAUUGAUUAAGAAACGUGAAGUGAUUGCAUUGAUUAAAUCUAUAACAAUGGAAAGGUUUCAAUAGUUGGAGGGGGGAGGGAAGGAAUCCUUGCAGUAAUCUCUUGUUAACAUGUUACAUGUCCGCUUAUUGUAAGACCUCAGUCCACCACCUCUGACUGCAUGGCUGUUAUGUAAGAUGUUAUUUGUAUUACGAAACUGAGAUUUGAUUGCAAUUCAUUCACACGGCUAGAAGCCUUACAGGGGCUAUGCAAAUCUUCUGAGAAAGCACCUGUUUGUGGUACUCCAGUAUCCUGUUGCAUUUCCCGUGUAAGCCUAUUACCUCAGCUGCAGGAGGGACAGGUCCCAAAGCGCUGGACCCCUCCGGGAAGGGGGAGAAGGGGAGGAGGAGGGUGUGCCUGAGGGGCUGCCUCAUUCUGUUGCUUGUUCUGGUCACGUGUGAUAGGUAGCAAGGCUUGGACGAAGGGUUUUUGUUUGUUUGUUUAGAACUAAAAACUGAGAUUUUCUUUUCUAAGCCAUUGAUUUGAAACUACAUCACAUGGCAUCACUCUCUGCUGUCAUAACACAUAACUGCAGUUUCCUGUACAUGAGCAAGCGGAAGCAACUUGGCAGGACAUUCUCUGAUAGAAGCUCAUUGCUUUCGGUUUCCAUUUGCCCUCACGCUCCUGUCAGGGCCAAGAGAUUUAAAAUGAACAAACGAGAAGAUCAUCUUCUUUCACUCCUGCUGCUCCUACUCACUGCCUGGCUAGCCUAAGGUUUUGGGAUGACCAAGUCCAUGAGAAUUAUGUUGUUCUGUACAGUUGUUAUUUUGUUUGUUUCAGUAAACACAAAGCAUAAUCAGAUGUAAUCAGGCUGUAAGUAGCAUUGUGGAAAAAAAUUCCUGUUCUCACGGAAGUGAGUUGGAGAAGGAAUUCAACGCAGUGCCUCCCUGAGCAGAGCAAUCUUUGUAAAGAGCAAGUGGCCCCACUGCAGAGAGGGUGCCGGAGUGAGCUGAGGUGUUCAUGUGGCGCUGCCAGCUGAAGGUACUGACCAAACUUUUGGAAACACAGUACAGGGAAAGAAAUUUGUUCCAGCAAUUUUCAGGACAGCUAACCUCCACCCAGUUUAUACUUUUUUUUUUGACUACAUGAUUUAAAUAAAUAUUUUUAGUUUCAGUAGGAAGUUAUGCAUUAUUCAAAUGACAGUUCUGAGGCAAUUUAUUCAGAUGCAAAAAGCACUUUAAAUUGAUUUUGAAACUAUUGACAGCAGAGAUGAAAAAAGGUGGGUGGGAGCACAAAGUGGCUUAUAAAAUAUUUACACAAAUAAUUGUAUAUUUCAUAUCUUGAUAGACUUAUAUUUUUUUGAUCACCAAACUACUAACGAACAUUAGUUAUUCUUGACACUGACUUUAAUUAAGCAUGUCUUCAGUUCAUAAACAUGGUGAGUAAGAAGUUGCUCAUUGAGAAGAUUUUUCUAAUCAUCAUUUAAAAAAACAAAACAAAACCAGUACCUUAAGCAGAAAAAGAAAGAAAAGAAAUUAAUAUGGAGACUGUCAUUCUGAACUCACUGAUGUGUUAUAAAGUAAGAGUGUUCAAAGUGGAAUUGUAAUCUAGGGAGGGUAUUAUGUACCUUGCACUACUGAUAAGUUAAGUUGUAGUAUCAUUGUCACUGAAGAAUAGCUUUUGUGAUUUUGUUCUGUCAUACCGCAUGCAUUUUUUUCCCAGUCAUUUAUAUUAGGAACAGCUUUUGUGUGCCACAUAACUCAACCUGGCUCUAAUCUGCAACUGAUUUACUGUUUUUGCCUUCAGGGCCAUCAUCUGUGUAUUUAGUGGACCUGGUGGACACACCAGCUUUGACAUAUUGUACUGGAAGUUUUUCUAUAAAAUCAAGCUUGCCAAACCCCAAGUCAUCAGUCAAACAAAGUCUCAUUGACCGAGUAAAAACCAAGUGAAUUUCUUGAGGUCUCACCCACUGUUAAACAUCCGAUUAUAAGCUUCUUUUAUUUAAUAAAAACCUGAAGGAUGGCCUCAAGCUCAGAAAGCAUUUGUACACAUGCCUACCUUUAAGCAUGCGUGAAGUCUCGUUGAUUUGAAUAUGACUACUUCCUGCGGCAAUGGGAAGUCUGGGAAAAGUAUGUGUAAGGUCAAACAUCCUCUUUUUUGUCUUGAUCUCCUUCUUAUGUGAUCCAUAUACAGUACUGUAUUCUCCUCAGAUCUUGAGAUCAUACAGAGUCACUGCUCCUACCACUGAAAAAUAUGCUUAACUACAAGCAGAUUCUGGGCUCUGUUGAUUGUCCCAGUUCACUUUCUGGAUGCACGGAAGCUUUGCUGGAGUUACUCCUGUCAUGCACUGGUGUAUGAUGCCUGGCUGAGUACCCUGAAACUCCCACCAGCAAUCUCCGGCUCCAUGUGCAACAGUCCUGGCUCGUGCUCGAGAUCCAGCCUUUUACUCAGCUGUGGGUUAGGAGCUCUUGGGAAGCUUGAGUUGUUGAUAUCACAAAACUGUGUGUCAGAGACUGAAAACUGAGCAUUCAGGAAGAGGUGACACUGGACAGAAGAAUAAUGUAGAGUAUAUGUUAAAGCAAAAUAACUAUUGGAAAGGACAUACAACAAAAAUGGUCACUAGUGUUCUUACACUUCUUAUCCCCUACUCUACUUUUCAUGGAAUAAAAUUCGCGCAGGAAUACAAAUAGGAAAUUGAGGGAGAAAAUAAACAAAGAUCCAAUUAUCUUGAGGUUUUGUGUUAUUGCUGUCACUAUGGUGUCACAAUACCUUCCAUGUAAAAUAGGUUUGUUUGGUAAUCGCAGAUUUCCUAGUGUGCUUCAUAACAAUGAAAAGGAAAUUUGAAAAGAACUUGCAUCAAGUUGGGAAGGCUAGAGAGAAUCUGGUUUUAUUUAGAAAUAAAGGAAAGUAACAAUCAUAUCUAUAAAAGAUUACAAUUCAAUGCUGCAAGAGUUAUGCAUUUUUUUUCUCUGAUAUCUUUGCUUAUGGUAUGUGGGAGCUGAAUUGGACUUAUGAUGUCAUAAAGGUCAUUUUAUAGUCAUUCUUUGAGUGUAUUAUUAAGACCUUUUAUAUCUGGUAAAAUAAUUAAAUGUCAAGUAACCACACAUUUAAAAAUAUUUUUCUGGUAUAUAUAUUAUUUCUAAAGUUUUCUAGUAUAAUGAUUUUCUAUAAUAUUUUCUACAGAUUGGUUUUUUUAAUAAAAUUCCUGUUAGCUUCAAUGUGGCCCUAAUUUCACUCCCAAGGCUGUUCUUUCUGACAGCUUGCCCAUCUAAGUAGGCAGUUGCAGUUGUAUGCUUUGCCUUUAAGAAGAAAAGGAAGCUGAGAUGAAGUUUAUACUGUGUAACAUUUGGUUGUGUGCCUUUAAA